GCCCAUUGGUUGAGACGCAGGAGCCAAUGAGAAGGCGUGAUGUUGACGGGGUCCUAAGAUGGCUGCUGGGCGACCGCUUCCUGACAGCUCCAGUUAAUGGGACUGCCAGCAGGCUAGACAUCCUUCGCCGGGAUCUGCAGCGCUUAGUUCUGUGCCCGGGAGGGGCUUCUCUCUGUUUUGGGAUUGGAGUGUGGCAUUGCCGCCAGAAAGCCUGCAGAAUUCCGGGUUGUGCAGCCAAGCAGGAACGGUGUACCUUUCUAGACCCAUCGUCUUGCAAUCUUGGACCCUAAGAAAAGAUGUGGAGUGGGCUGCUACCUCCUGGCCUAAAUGAAAGUGAUGCUGAGUCAAACUCGGAAGAUGAAGCUACGUUGGAGAACUCUGGACUUAACUUACAGGAAGAUAAAGAGGAUGAGAGCAUCAGAAAAACAGAAAUCAUAGAUUUCUCAACAGAUGAACCAAAAACUGAAACAGAGUCAAAUGUAAAUGCCUAUGAAGAGUGUCCUUCUGGAAUUCCCAUAGAUAUGUGGAAUAAAUUUCAAGAAUUGCAUAAAAAACAUUCCGAACAGAAAAGCACAACCUCAAGAUUCAGAGGGAAAAGAAGAAAACGCUCCAGAAAAGAUAAAUUGAAGAAUGAAAAAGAAUUUCAUAGUGAACCGUCCUCAAAUGAAACCCAGUGGAAAGAGCUUACUCAGUAUUUUGGAGUCAAUGAUAGAUUUGACCCGCCUGUUAAAAGGAAAAAAGUUGAGAAGUCAGGCCUUGAAAAGAGGAUAGACCAGGCUGUGGAGGAGUGGAAUAUUGAGAAGGCUGAGGAACUCAGCAACCAGCUAGCUACUCGAGAGGAUCACAGGACUCAACAAGCUGGUGUCCUAUUGCUGUUGCUUGUCCAGUCUUCCUUUUGGAAGAUCCCAGAGUUGCGUAUUGUGUGAUCUCUUCCAAGUAGCAAGUGACUGACCAACAGAAUCCCCCAAGUCAGUCAGUUUCCUCAGAUUUUGCUUUGCUAAAGGAAGAAAAGGAAAAUCAUGGGAGUAAUGUUGUGUGUUUCUCAGUGUCAGCAAUCCAGAGACUCGUGCUGUCUCUUUGUCCCUUGCCUGAUGGUGUUACUUCGAUUAACUACUUCAGCUUGGUGUAAAAAUUGCCAAAGCAGUUGCCUGCCACAACUUUGUAAAAGCCAAAAAGGAGGUUGAAAAUUCACAGGCUGCCCGAAAAAAGAAGAAACUUGCAUGGGGGUUUGAAGCAAAGAAGAGAUGGGAAACCAAAAGCAACAUGGGAUACAUGUAACUUGCCAGAGUGCUUCAAGACAUUUGUAGACUCAAAUGCUCAAUUUACUGAGAAUGUUUUCCUGCCUAUGUUAAUAUGUCAGAAAAUUGAUAGCACUAAAACAAAAAUAAGCAUAAAAUUUGGGAUUUUGAUUAUCAGCUCUUUUCAGUCUUUCUUUAAGGACUUUGUCCUAUUGAAGUCAAUAAAAUGAAGCAUUCUGUUAUUUGUAUAAGAAAUGUAAGAAAAAAAUAUAGAAAGAAGAGGAUAGGAUUUUGUUUAUUUGUAUGGAUGGACCCUCGGUAUAAAAUCACUUUUGGUGCUUUCCAUUCAUUUGGUUUAGCACAGCCAGUGAGCUUCUCGUACUUUCUUUUUUUUUUUUUUUUUUUUUUUUUUGAGACAGAGCCUCGCUUGCUCUGUCACCCAGGCUAGAGUGCAGUAGCACGAUCUUGGCUCACUGCAACCACUGCUUCCUGGGUUCAAGUGAUUCUCAUGCCUCAGCCUCCUGAGUAGCUGGGAUUAUGGGCAAAUGCCACCACACCCGGCUAAUUUUUUUUUUUUUUUUUUUGUAUUUUUAGUAGAGACAGAGUUUUGCUGUGUUGGUCAGGCUGGUCUUGAACUCCUGGCCUCAUAUGAUUCACCUGCCUCUGCCUCCCAAAGUUCUGGGAGUACAGGCAUGAGCUACCAUGCUGCCCUUGUAUUUUCUUAUCUGUACCCAGUGUAACUACACGUUUACUGGAACUGUGUUUUUAAGACUGACAGUUGUUUAUAAUGGAUUAGUCGUAAGUGCCAAAAAGUCUCAGUUGAUAUUAUCUUUACAAAUGACUUGACCUUAAUGUUAUAAAAGUAGUUACUGUUUUUUUUAAUUGGAGGCAGACUUGAUAUUUCAGAAUUGCAUAGUAAAAGCAAUUUGUUAAUUUUUGUGUACUUUCAGAUAAACUAUUACAAUAAAGAAAGGAGCAGAAUGUA